GCCGAGAUCAGGAACGAUGAAGAAGUCGUCCUCGUCGUCGGGCAGCUGCACCCGCGGCUUCUUGCUCUGACGCGCACCGGUCGCCUUGUAGAACCCCGCGUUGGUAGCUGGCUGCGGCGAGGCGAAGAGCUCGGGGACCUCCGCCGUCGUGGUCUUGGCCGGCGCGUGGCCGUGGAACAGGUCGAUGUCCGCGAACCACUCCAGCUCCUUGAACCCAAGAGGCGAGUCCUUCCGCAACAAGAGAAGGAAACCGUGAGAUGAUUGGUUAGAUGUUGUCAUGAAGAAAAGGAAAGGUUUUGAUGGUUGCCUGCUUGCCUUGUCGCUGGAUUCGUAGUCGGAGAGCUGCAGGAGGUCCUCGACGGCCCAUCCGGACGGCGGCAGGAACGGUGACGACGGCACCUCCUGCGGCUGCGCGUCCUUGACGACCGGUGGUGUCUUGGCCGCCCCCGCGGUGGCCGCGGGCUUGGAGUUGGAGCUGCCCUUGGGCGGCGGGAGGCCUUCCGCUCCGGCUCCUGCGCCGGCGCCGCAGACGGAGCUGAAGCCGACGCGGAUGCCGGUGGCGAG
rnacentral:lncRNA from 1 species